ACUGACCAUCUAACUGACCAUCUAACUGACCAUCUAACUGACCAUCUAACUGACCAACUAACUGACCAUCUAACUGGCCAUCUAACUGACCAUCUAACUGACCAUCUAACUGACCAUCUAACUGACCAGCUGCUUUGCUCUAGACAAGUUGCAGAGGUUGAUCUUAUUGUCACCUAAACAUCAGAGGUUGAUCUUAUUGUCACCUAAACAUCAGAGGUUGAUCUUAUUGUCACCUAAACAUCAGAGGUAAUAUAGUCAUCUUGGUGUCUGUUGUCUUGUUUUCAGAAGGAGGUGAGGAAGGUGAAGAAGACCCACACCAGCCUUUCUCCUCAGGAGAUCAGGACCAUCCAUGUGAAGAGACAUCUGGACCCUCUGCCUCCAGGCUUCUUCUACAACGGACAACAGUACGUCAGCUUCUUUGGAGAGAAGAAGAUCUUCCAUCCACAAAUGGACCAGUUCAUAACGGAGUAUGUUGAGGAGGCCAACCGAGAGAUCGACCUCUUCAACAAUCAACUGGAGCAGCAGCAGCACCAGGACCUGUUUGACCCUUAGUGACACCUAAUGACCCCCAAGGUUCGGGUUAGAGGUCGUCUGUCUCGUCCUUUUACUGUUUGUCCUCCUUCUCAGCACAUCUCAAAGGGAAACAAGGGGGGGAAACUAUACCAUACAUACUGUCACCUCCACUAUACCAUACAUACUGUCACCUCCACUAUACCAUACAUACUGUCACCUCCAC